rnacentral:rRNA from 1 species
UACAGAGACUGCAAGCGUUAUUCGGAUUCACUGGGCGUAAAGGGCGCGUAGGCGGCCUUCUAAGUCGGACGUGAAAUCCCUCGGCUUAACCGAGGAACUGCGUCCGAUACUGAAAGGCUUGAAUCCGGGAGAGGGAUGUGGAAUUCCAGGUGUAGCGGUGAAAUGCGUAGAUAUCUGGAGGAACACCGGUGGCGAAGGCGGCAUCCUGGACCGGUAUUGACGCUGAGGCGCGAAAGCUAGGGGAGCAAACGGG